AUGAACGCUGGCGGCGUGCCUAAUACAUGCCAGUCGAGCGAACAGACGAGGAGCUUGCUCCUCUGACGUUAGCGGCGGACGGGUGAGUAACACGUGGAUAACCUACCUAUAAGACUGGGAUAACUUCGGGAAACCGGAGCUAAUACCGGAUAAUAUAUUGAACCGCAUGGUUCAAUAGUGAAAGACGGUUUUGCUGUCACUUAUAGAUGGAUCCGCGCCGCAUUAGCUAGUUGGUAAGGUAACGGCUUACCAAGGCAACGAUGCGUAGCCGACCUGAGAGGGUGAUCGGCCACCCUGGAACUGAGACACGGUCCAGACUCCUACGGGAGGCAGCAGUAGGGAAUCUUCCGCAAUGGGCGAAAGCCUGACGGAGCAACGCCGCGUGAGUGAUGAAGGUCUUCGGAUCGUAAAACUCUGUUAUUAGGGAAGAACAAAUGUGUAAGUAACUAUGCACGUCUUGACGGUACCUAAUCAGAAAGCCACGGCUAACUACGUG
rnacentral:rRNA from 1 species